GCUGAUUUUAUCGUUGAACUGCCC
rnacentral:siRNA from 1 species